GACGAACGCUGGCGGCGUGCCUAAUACAUGCAAGUCGAACGCUGAAGGAGGAGCUUGCUCUUCUGGAUGAGUUGCGAACGGGUGAGUAACGCGUAGGUAACCUGCCUGGUAGCGGGGGAUAACUAUUGGAAACGAUAGCUAAUACCGCAUAACAGUAGAUGCUGCAUGACAUUUGCUUAAAAGGUGCAAUUGCAUCACUACCAGAUGGACCUGCGUUGUAUUAGCUAGUUGGUGGGGUAACGGCUCACCAAGGCGACGAUACAUAGCCGACCUGAGAGGGUGAUCGGCCACACUGGGACUGAGACACGGCCCAGACUCCUACGGGAGGCAGCAGUAGGGAAUCUUCGGCAAUGGACGGAAGUCUGACCGAGCAACGCCGCGUGAGUGAAGAAGGGUUUCGGAUCGUAAAGCUCUGUUGUAAGAGAAGAACGAGUGUGAGAGUGGAAAGUUCACACUGUGACGGUAGCUUACCAGAAAGGGACGGCUAACUACGUG
rnacentral:rRNA from 1 species